rnacentral:rRNA from 1 species
UACAGAUGUCCCGAGCGUUGUUCGGAUUCACUGGGCGUAAAGGGUGCGUAGGUGGUGGAGUAAGUUUGAUGUGAAAUCUCCGGGCUUAACCCGGAAACUGCAUUGAAUACUAUUCCGCUGGAGGUUUGGAGGGGGGACUGGAAUUCUCGGUGUAGCAGUGAAAUGCGUAGAUAUCGAGAGGAACACCAGUGGCGAAGGCGAGUCCCUGGACAACACCUGACACUGAGGCACGAAAGCUAGGGGAGCAAACAGG